UACGUAGGGGGCUAGCGUUGUUCGGAAUCAUUGGGCGUAAAGCGCGUGUAGGCGGUCCGGUAAGUCCGCUGUGAAAGUCGGGGGCUCAACCCUCGGAUGCCGGUGGAUACUGUCGGGCUUGAGUACGGAAGAGGCGAGUGGAAUUCCAGGUGUAGCGGUGAAAUGCGUAGAUAUCUGGAGGAACACCGGUGGCGAAGGCGGCAUCCUGGACCGGUAUUGACGCUGAGGCGCGAAAGCCAGGGGAGCAAACGGG
rnacentral:rRNA from 1 species